rnacentral:rRNA from 1 species
CCUACGGGAGGCAGCAGUGAGGAAUAUUGGUCAAUGGACGCAAGUCUGAACCAGUCAUGCCGCGUGCAGGAAGACGGCUCUAUGAGUUGUAAACUGCUUUUGUACGAGGGUAAACGCAGAUACGCGUAUCUGUCUGAAAGUAUCGUACGAAUAAGGAUUGGCUAACUCCGUGCCAGCCGCCGCGGUUAUACGGAGGGUUCAAGCGUUAUCCGGAUUUUAUGGGUUUAAAGGGUUCGUAGGCGGUCGUAUAAGUUAGAGGUGAAAUCCCGAGGCUCAACUUCGGAAUUGCCUCUGAUACUGUUCGGCUAGAGAGUAGUAGCGGUAGGCGGAAUGUAUGGUGUAGCGGUGAAAUGCUUAGAGAUCAUACAGAACACCGAUUGCGAAGGCAGCUUACCAAGGUACUUCUGACGUUGAGGCACGAAAGCGUGGGGAGCAAACAGGAUUAGAUACCCGGGUAGUC